rnacentral:lncRNA from 1 species
GGGGGGCUGGCCGGGGGGGAAGGGGCGUAGCAGUCCGUGGGUUUGGGACAGACGAGUCAUUUUGGAGCUUCCACUCGGACCUCGCGGGCUGGACACGGAGGGCAGGCUCUCCCCGGGAGGACAGACUGACAGCGAGGAAGAUCCUCGGCCCAGGUGAGAGGAUGAUGAAGGUCCUGCUGGUGCUGACGAUGCUGUUUGCCUGCAGUGUGUUCACAGCCCACGGGAAGCACCCACGCACCUUCACGCCGGGACUCGAGGGAAGCACCGUAGGAAACCUGACUGCCCAUGGAUGCUACUCGGGAUGGGGCACCUCGAGGGCUUCAGUGGAUCGGUGCUGCCUGCUCCGAGCCUGCUGCUAUGCCAAGCUGGCAGCGCGGCGGUGCCGCGUGGGACCCGCGCAGCCCCUCUCUGCGCCCCGGGCAGGGAUCCCCACCUGCAGGUCGGGGACGCGGUGCCAGCGCGGCGCCUGCAGGUGCGAGCGGGCGGCGUGGCUGUGCCGGGCUCAGCUCCGCCGCCGUGCCCGGUGCCGGGGACGAGCCGGGCGCUGCUGAAGCAAAAUCUCCCUUUGCAAAACCAUCUCCGGGCUGAUCCGCGAUGGGACGGCGUCGGCAGCGCUUCCCAGCCCUGGCGAGCCUCCUCCUCGGGGCCUUUCGGCUUCGAGGAGAGGACAACAACGCUCCGGUCAAGUCGCGUCACGGGAUCCGAGGAGGGGGAGCAGCGAUGUUCCAGCACAGCAAAACAAGGGAGGAGUGGACACCUGCCCCUCGUCCCCGUGAGGGGCGGGAUGGGAAGCGUCCCCCCUUGGCAGCCUGGCCGUUCCCUCCGCUUCCUGCUUCACAGCAAAUUCCCUCCUGUUGCUCCAAAAUAAAACCUGAGAGCCCAAAGCACCGGUUCCCAGCGUGCCGUGACUCAGCUGAGCCCA